rnacentral:pre_miRNA from 17 species
UGCUGAGGCGAGGCUACCCUUGGAGCUGGGACCCUAUCUAUAUUGCGUCUGCUUUGAAUUUAUCGCUUUAAGUAGUGCAAUAUCGCUUAUAGGGUUUCAGCCCGGGGUCCAAUCGUCUUUCAAGAGG